AUUGCUUCUCUGCCUUUUGGCUAAGAUCAAGUGUAGAUACAAAUAGGAUCUAAAUAUUUUUGGAAUAAGCUGUGAAUUAUGGGAUAAGUACUGCUUUCAAAUAGCAACUUUGCAGUUUUGUGGAAUACGUAGCACCAUUA
ensembl:snRNA U2 U2 spliceosomal RNA